rnacentral:rRNA from 1 species
GAUGAACGCUGGCGGCGUGCCUAAUACAUGCAAGUAGAACGCUGAAGGAGGAGCUUGCUCUUCUGGAUGAGUUGCGAACGGGUGAGUAACGCGUAGGUAACCUGCCUGGUAGCGGGGGAUAACUAUUGGAAACGAUAGCUAAUACCGCAUGACAACAGUUAUUGCAUGAUAACUGUUUAAAAGGGGCAACUGCUCCACUACCAGAUGGACCUGCGUUGUAUUAGCUAGUUGGUGAGGUAACGGCUCACCAAGGCGACGAUACAUAGCCGACCUGAGAGGGGGAUCGGCCACACUGGGACUGAGACACGGCCCAGACUCCUACGGGAGGCAGCAGUAGGGAAUCUUCGGCAAUGGACGGAAGUCUGACCGAGCAACGCCGCGUGAGUGCAGAAGGUUUUCGGAUCGUAAAGCUCUGUUGUAAGAGAAGAACGAGUGUGAGAGUGGAAAGUUCACACUGUGACGGUAUCUUACCAGAAAGGGACGGCUAACUACGUG